AACGAACGCUGGCGGCAGGCCUAACACAUGCAAGUCGAGCGCACCCUUCGGGGCGAGCGGCGGACGGGUUAGUAACGCGUGGGAAUGUACCCUUCUCUAUGGAAUAGCCUCGGGAAACUGAGAGUAAUACCAUAUACGCCCUUCGGGGGAAAGAUUUAUCGGAGAAGGAUCAGCCCGCGUAAGAUUAGAUAGUUGGUGGGGUAAUGGC
rnacentral:rRNA from 1 species